CAAGGAACUACUAUAUUGCGAGUUAUAGACUGUUUUCAUAAUAAAGAAAUACUAAGCGAUUAUUUUAACUACUAGCUGACUGUCCUGAUUCAACUAACGAUGGGAAUCCAGAGCAGUACCUGUUAUACGAGAGGGUCAAGUAAGCUUUCUAUCGAAACGUUUGCCUCCUUUCUCCUUCUUCUUUUGGAAGCAAAGAGUAACCACAUAACUAUCUGCCACUUUUUGAUUAUUGAUUCAAACUAAACAUCGGUUCCAUCCUCAGCCAGUAUUUCAGCCUUGGUCACAGUCGUGGAGAAAUGUGCUUAAUGCAGCCUGAAGUUUCCCCUUCUGGUUGGUUACCUGAUUUUCUUUGGUGUUGGCAGAAAAAUUUCUGGUAUGAUAUAAUUGAUAUGAUUUAUUCAUUAUUAUUUAUUUAUUUAUCCACAUCCCUUUGAGUUCUGUUGAAGAAAUGACGCCGGCAAAGUUCAUAUGAAACAGAGACCCCAGUUCUUUUCCAAGAAGCUAUAUUUCGUGAAAAGGCAACACAAAUAUGGAAAUAAAAUCGAAAAUCAAAACAGGAAGAAAAUAUUUUAAAAUUAUCCGUUUAUUCGUAUAUAGUCUUAUAAAAUAAAAGUGUAUUUUGUCCAGGAAACAGAAGUUAAGGAUUCUCUCUCAA